GACGAACGCUGGCGGCGUGCUUAACACAUGCAAGUCGAACGGAAAGGCCCCUUUGGGGGUACUCGAGUGGCGAACGGGUGAGUAACACGUGAGUAACCUGCCCUUGACUUCGGGAUAACUUCAGGUAACUGGGGCUAAUACCGGAUAGGAAUCCUUGCUUCAUGGGGGGGGUUGGAAAGCUUCGGGGGUUUUGGAUGGACUCGCGGCUUAUCAGCUUGUUGGUGGGGUAGUGGCUUACCAAGGCUUUGACGGGUAGCCGGCCUGAGUGGGCGACCGGCCACAUUGAGACUGAGGGGCGGCACAGACUCCGACGGGAGGGAGAUGUGGGGAAUAUUGACCAAGGGGCGGAGGCUUGGUGCAGCAGGGCCGCGUGCGGGAUGACGGUCUUAGGGUGGAAAACCGAUUUCGUCAGGAGCGAUGCUUGUGUUGACGGUACCUAAAGAAGAAGCCCCGGCUAACUACGUG
rnacentral:rRNA from 1 species